rnacentral:piRNA from 1 species
AGAACAGGAAAGCAGGAUCCCUUGGU